rnacentral:rRNA from 1 species
GUUAAUAAAGAAUUUACGGUCCACUUUUUCAAGUGUGAACUAAAAUCUUUAUUUCCUUCCUUCUAGAUUUACUCCCAUUUUUUUAUUCGUAAAAAUUUUGGGAUAAAAGUAAUCUAGAUCUUUUACUGUGAAGAAAUUAGAGUGUUCAAAGCAGGCGUAACCUAGCCUUUGAAUAUAUUAGCAUGGGAUAAUGAAAUAGGAUUUAAGUCCUACUUUCGUUGGUUUCUAGGGCUUAAAUA